rnacentral:rRNA from 1 species
UACAGAGGUCUCAAGCGUUGUUCGGAUUCAUUGGGCGUAAAGGGUGCGUAGGCGGCGCGGUAAGUCGGAUGUGAAAUCUCGGAGCUUAACUUCGAAACUGCAUUCGAUACUGCCGUGCUUGAGGACUGGAGAGGAGACUGGAAUUUACGGUGUAGCGGUGAAAUGCGUAGAUAUCGGGAGGAAUACCAGUGGCGAAGGCGGCUUCUUGGCCUGUUCUUGACGCUGAGGCGCGAAAGCUGGGGGAGCAAACGGG